CACGCCGUAAACGAUGAAUACUAGGUGUAGGGGACGCAGGUCUUCUGUGCCGGAGCAAACGCAAUAAGUAUUCCGCCUGGGGAGUACGGCCGCAAGGUUGAAACUCAAAGGAAUUGACGGGGGCCCGCACAAGCAGCGGAGCAUGUUGUUUAAUUCGAAGCAACGCGAAGAACCUUACCAGGGCUUGACAUCCACUGAACCUGAUAGAGAUAUUGGGGUGCCGCAAGGAGCAGUGAGACAGGUGG
rnacentral:rRNA from 1 species